CUCAAACUAAGCUUGGGCCUUUUCCUGGACCAGAAAGUACUACAGCUCAUAUACAUGAAGGAUAUCACAUGUUUUUGGACCUGUUCCUGCUGAACUUGCCAUCACAGAAGUUACAGGACAAUACAGGGAAAUGCACACUAAGCAGUGGGCCAUCAAAUGCUCAACAGAGAGCAAAGCUUCAGCAUUGGAGGUUCCUCUGCCAUCAUCACGGCAUGCGUCUGUGUGGCUCUGCUGCUGAUUGGAGGAUCAGCACUGACCUGCUACAAAC